AACUUACAUGUUAUGAUGACGUAGAAUUUGUGAUUACAUCACUUUAAUAUUAAAUUUUCAUUUCUCGUCAGGACAGAAGGUCGAUAAUACACGCAGGUCGAUAAUACCCGACGGUGCUCUGUGUAUAUAUUCGUAGCAAGCCAUCAAUUUGAUCCGCUGUCGUGAAGAAUUUGGGAUCUACUGUCAUCGUAACCAGAACAAUGCCGUCUGUCCAGAUAUCGGUUGUCCUCAUGGUCGUGUGCAGCCUCGCAGCCGCAGCUGUAUUUAUGCCAUGGAUCAGUCCGGAAAGAAGAGAUCCAACGAAACGAGGUGCCUGUUCCUGUCAAUAUUUCUGUAAGGCCUCGGAAUGCGUGGGCGAAAGUAACUUCUGUGUUUCAUGGCAAUGGGGUUCCCGUAAUCGUAAUCAUCUAAAGAAAAUGUGCUGUAACCGUGAAAAAUAUGAUUGUGUUAACAGAAUUUGGAAACAUUAAAUAAAGAAAGUGUAAGACUUUGUAUAUCCGCUUGUGUUUUAAAUUAACGCUGUGACAAACUAAUCGUCGUUUUUUUCUACUUAUUGAUAAAAAUAAAUUAAGAUUACCCAUUUUCUAGCUCGCCUUGUCAUUAAAUAUAUACGACUCUUUGUACAAACGUAUUUUAUAAGCCACCUCUUUUCCAAUGCUCUUCGGUUAAAUUACUAAGUUUGUUAUUCAAUAAACUUCGAAAAUUGAAAUCUCUUUUCACUAUAACGCUUCUUUGUGUGUGAUAUCGCAACAAGAUAUUAAACGUAAUGGGAGCUUCAUUUUGAGUAAACGUAUAAGUUGUUAUCACGUUUCUUUAUUUUCUGUAAGAUAGCCGUGCGGAAUACCAUUGUUUCAGUUGUAGCCAAAGGCAUAUAUUUGCUGAUUUUGCCAAUAAACUGAAACUAUUGGUUUAGUCAAAUAAAUAGACUUGAAACUUG